GCACUACUGAGGAAUCUCACAAUAAGACGAAACGGCCGUCCAGUGC
rfam:Schistosoma margrebowiei strain Zambia genome assembly, scaffold: SMRZ_contig0002783